rnacentral:rRNA from 1 species
UCCUGGCUCAGGAUGAACGCUGGCGGCGUGCCUAACACAUGCAAGUCGAACGGGACUAUUGAGACGAUUCGGUCUGAUCUUAAGUUAGUGGCGGACGGGUGAGUAACGCGUGGACAACCUGCCUUCACAGGGGGAUAGCAGCUGGAAACGGCUGGUAAUACCGCAUACGCUCAUGCCACCGCAUGGUGGUGUGAGGAAAGAUUUAUCGGUGAAAGAUGGAUCCGCGUCUGAUUAGCCAGUUGGCGGGUAACGGCCCACCAAAGCGACGAUCAGUAGCCGGCCUGAGAGGGCGGACGGCCACAUUGGGACUGAGACACGGCCCAGACUCCUACGGGAGGCAGCAGUGGGGGAUAUUGCACAAUGGGGGCAAGCCUGAUGCAGCGACGCCGCCGUGAGUGAAGAAGUAUUUCGGUAUGUAAAGCUCUAUCAGCAGGGAAGAAAGGCCCGCAAGGGAGAUGACGGUACCUGACUAAGAAGCCCCGGCUAACUACGUGCCAGCCGCCGC